GUGACAUCGAUGUUGAAACACUGGUUCCGUACGAUCAUCGAAGUUUAAGCAACGUCGAGCCUAGUCAGUACCUAGAUGGGUGACCGCUUGGGAAUACCAGGUACUGUAA